CAGCAGUGGGGAAUAUUGCACAAUGGGCGCAAGCCUGAUGCAGCCAUGCCGCGUGUAUGAAGAAGGCCUUCGGGUUGUAAAGUACUUUCAGCAGUGAGGAAGGUGGGUAUGUUAAUAGCAUAUUCAUUUGACGUUAGCUGCAGAAGAAGCACCGGCUAACUCCGUGCCAGCAGCCGCGGUAAUACGGAGGGUGCGAGCGUUAAUCGGAAUUACUGGGCGUAAAGCGCAUGCAGGUGGUUUGUUAAGUCAGAUGUGAAAGCCCGGGGCUCAACCUCGGAAUUGCAUUUGAAACUGGCAAACUAGAGUACUGUAGAGGGGGUAGGAAUUUCAGGUGUAGCGGUGAAAUGCGUAGAGAUCUGAAGGAAUACCGGUGGCGAAGGCGGCCCCCUGGACAGAUACUGACACUCAGAUGCGAAAGCGUGGGGAGCAAACAGGAUUAGAUACCCUGGUAG
rnacentral:rRNA from 1 species